ensembl:miRNA MIR6509 microRNA 6509
UUUUUGUGUGUGAAAUUAGGUAGUGGCAGUGGAACACUAUAUUAAUCAGGUUUCCACUGCCACUACCUAAUUUCUCAGAUGGAAA